UGUUUCCCUUUGGGGGAGAUCUAACUGUCACGAGCGCUCUGAAGACUUUGCGUAAGGGGUUCCUGGUGUUCAUGUAACUGGUAUUCAUAAUAUCAAGGAAAAAUUAAGCCCAUCGAUUCAAACCUUGAAAAUGGUCGUAUUUGUAGGCCAUGAGCUAAAGUAUCAAAUAGUCCAUGACUUGAUGAUUUAAUGAUCACUCAUCAAAUUCGCCAAAUUGUGGCUUUCACCGUUGUCAGGGGAAAAAAAAAAUGUGUAAGUGGAUAGACUGGAAAGUCACAGGCUCAUAACUUUAGAGUGUUUAUUCAUCCACUGAACACUUCUUUAAGCACCUACUAUAUGUCAGGUAAUUUGCUGGAUGCUGGCAGACCAAUCCCUGCCACAAGGAUCUCAGAGUCUAGAGGAGGAAACAGCCAUAAAAUAAAUACAAGUGAGGACAGGGUAGCACAAAGAGGAAGGGCCUAAUCCUGGAAGCGAAGAGUCCAGCAGGGCUUCCUGGAGGACAUAUAAUAUCCAGAGAAUUUCAAGUAAACACGAUUUAAAGGGAAGACUUUCACUAUGGCAUCGUUUUGAAGAUCCAAAGCGUGAGGCUGUCUGAGCAGUGAAAUGAUGUUACAAUGAUCUUUCAAGUACAGUGUGGUGAUCUCAUCUGCCUUUUUACAGGCCCAGGACAAAGAUGCUCAACAGUCUUGGAUACAGGGAAGAGAGCAGACACUCCAGGUCUUAGAAAUAAACCUGAUCUCACAUUAGAAUCCAUGGUGCCUCAUCUAAGAAACUAAGGUUCUGGGGCUUCCCUGGUGGUACAGUGGUUAAGAAUCCGCCUGCCAAUGCAGGGGACAUUGCAGGGCUCGGGUUCGAGCCCUGGUCCGGGAAGAUCCCACAAGCUGCGGAGCAACUACGCCCGUGCAGCACAACUACUGAGCCUGCGCUCUAGAGCCCGUGUGCCACAACUACUGAAGCCCGCGCGCCACAACUACUGAGGCCCGCGUGCCUAGAGCCCGUGCUCCGCAGCAGGAGAGGCCACCGCAGUGAGAAGCCUGCGCUCCGCGACAAAGAGUAGCCCCCGCUCGCUGCAACUGGAGGGGGCCCGUGCGCAGCAACAAAGACCUAACGCAGCCAUAAAUAAAUAAAUAAAUAAAUAAAUAAAUAAAUAAAUAAAUAAAUAAAUAGAAAGAAAGAAAGAAACCAAGGUUCUGGAACUGCAAAACCUUAUCUGAAGAUGUGAUCAUUGCAACGGUAAUAAGGCAAUGGUAACAGCGCAAUAUAUUUUGUUAUGUAUUACAGCAACCCUAAACCAGCCCAUGAAUUAAAUAAAGUUGUACAAGUAGGGGAAUGCAGACAGUGGAAGCUGUAUGGCCAUCUGAAAGCCUGGGCAUUUACUCUGAGGAGCAUCUGUCAGCUGGCAUUACACAUGUCCCAGGAUAAACUGGGUAAGGCAGCAGAAAGUGCUAGGGUGAGGUCUUUCAGAGACCCAGCUCUAGCUGUGAACUCCAUGAACCUGGGCAAGUUCCCUAAACCUCUGGGCCUGUUUUCUUACCUAUGAAACAGGAUGAUAGUGCUAUCACAGACUUGUAAGAGUGUAUGAGAAUUUGGCCUGCAUUUUGUUCAAUUUCCUUUUAAAGGCAACCCCUGAAUUUGAGAGCCUCUGAUUUUAUCACUGUUUCUAAAAUCAUAACCAAGCUCACCCUCCAGUAAUAAAUUGCAGUUUCUGACUACUAAGUAACCACAACCUACGCCUCUGCUGAGCAGGUCAAGAUAGGGCUCCCGGUUCACCACAUCCUGCUGGGGCAGGUCCUGUGAGCUGGGAGACGACGCACAACAGGCAGACAAGGUCCUUGCUCUCCCAGCGUUAAAUCAACAUCAGCUGACUCAGCCUGGUCGCGGAACAAAUACAAUAUCCAGUUUUUUACAGUAGAUUUUCUUGAGAUUAUGCAACUUUUUGUGUUCUUUUAUCUGAUGGCCCAGAAUGUAAAAGGGGCAAAAAGUCAAGAGAAGCCUUCGUUUGACCACCAACCUCAACGUUGGUUCAGUGUUUUAUAUUCUCGCCCAUCUUUCUCACUUGAUGCAGGAAGCACUCUCAACCCUCAGUUUUUCCUUACAGUUACAUUGUGGCUUGAUUUUUUCAAGGCAACUGCCUUCAAGUUUGGCCUGGUCCAGCUUUCUUGGGGAGCUCCCCAACCUGGCCUUAGUCUGUAAUAUCACCAAAGGCAGGAGUGGGCUUUUAAAAUAUUUUGCAGAAACAAACAAAGAUGAGUAUGUAUGACGCUGUUGUCCACGAAACCAAGAUAAGAUUACUCUUGAGGAUGGGUGGGGAAGGCAGACUUCAUGAGACAACCGAGGGUCCUGGCAAGACAGUGGUGCCCUUCACCCCUUCACAUAUUUGUCACGGGGAUUUGGCAGCUCAUAUGCGGAGAAAGCGAAAGAUCAGUGUCUGAGUAAGUGAGGGAACAUUAGUGAGGAGCUAAUUGGGAUCAAAUAGGUUUUUAAAGUGUAUCUUUCCUCUCUCUCUCAUUUGGGAUAAGCCCCUUCCGUUUCACAAUCUGGCUAUUCAAACAAGCACAUUUAAUAUUGACCCACUUUCUUUUGUACAAUGGUUUAUUAUAAAGAACAUCUGCAGCAUAUUUAACGGGCCUAGUUAUUCUCAGGUUAUCUGAGGGUGUGUUGUAGGUAUUCCCUGCUCAUAUAUGAACUCUUCCGGAGAGGCAGCAACGCCUCUGGGGCCGUUGAAUCCUGACCCUCUGACUUGCCAUUUCUGGGACCGCCAGUAAGUCAGUUAAGCUUUCUGUGCCUCUGUUUUUUCAUUCAUAGAAUGUGAAUAGUAAUAAUAACUACACCAACUGGUUGUCAGGACUAUUAAAUAAGUUACUAUUUAAAAGUAUUUGGAACAAUGUCUAACACAAACUAAGUGUUUUACAAGAAUCUGUUGAAUAAAUAAAUUUUAAAAUAACAAAAAAAUAUGGCAACUGAAACAAGUGGAUGAAGAUGAGGUUGGAAGAUGUAGCUUGGUGUGUAACUUGGUGUAAGAAUCUCCAGUAACAGAGAUGCCCUAAAUAUAAAUAUGAAUGCCCUUUCAUUUUCCAUGAGAAAAGAUGAAUCCUAAAAAAAUGUUUCUAAUGGAUAUAUUCAUAUGAAUCAAAACCGGAAAUAGUCCAAAUGUCCAUCAAUAGGAAAUGGAUAACCAAAUUGUGGUAUAUUUAUAAAACAUAAUACAGUUGAACAAUAAACCGAUUAAGCUACUGAUGUGUGCAAAACAUAGAAGAGUCUCAAAAACUUCUGUUGAGCAAAAGAGUACAUAUUAUAUGAUUUCCUUUAUAUGAAGUUCAAGAUCAACAAUAUAAAUAUAUGGUGAUAUGGAUUAAAAGAAUGAUUUCUGGGGUUGGAGUUGAGGAUUGAUUGGAAAGGGGAAUGAGGUAUCUUUCCAGGAAGAUGGGAGUGUUAUCUAUCUUUAUUUGGGUGCUGGUAACAUGGAAUAUAUAUUUUAAAAAAUCUUCUCAAGUGUAUAUUUCAGAUCUGUGCAUUUUACUCUAAGUGAAUUACAUGCAAUAAAAUAAAAACUGACAAAAUAAAUAAA